UACGGGGGGGGCAAGCGUUGUUCGGAAUUACUGGGCGUAAAGGGCUCGUAGGCGGCCAACUAAGUCGGACGUGAAAUCCCUCGGCUUAACCGAGGAACUGCGUCCGAUACUGAAAGGCUUGAAUCCGGGAGAGGGAUGCGGAGUUCCAGGUGUAGCGGUGAAAUGCGUAGAUAUCUGGAGGAACACCGGUGGCGAAGGCGGCAUCCUGGACCGGUAUUGACGCUGAGGCGCGAAAGCCAGGGGAGCAAACGGG
rnacentral:rRNA from 1 species